AUUGAACGCUGGCGGCAUGCCUUACACAUGCAAGUCGAACGGUAACAGGUCUUCGGAUGCUGACGAGUGGCGAACGGGUGAGUAAUACAUCGGAACGUGCCUAGUAGUGGGGGAUAACUACUCGAAAGAGUGGCUGAUACCGCAUGAGAUCUACGGAUGAAAGCAGGGGAUCGCAAGACCUUGCGCUACUAGAGCGGCCGAUGGCAGAUUAGGUAGUUGGUGGGAUAAAAGCUUACCAAGCCGACGAUCUGUAGCUGGUCUGAGAGGACGAUCAGCCACACUGGGACUGAGACACGGCCCAGACUCCUACGGGAGGCAGCAGUGGGGAAUGUUGGACAAUGGGCGAAAGCCUGAUCCAGCAAUGCCGCGUGCAGGAUGAAGGCCUUCGGGUUGUAAACUGCUUUUGUACGGAACGAAAAGCCCCGGGUUAAUACCCUGGGGUCAUGACGGUACCGUAAGAAUAAGCACCGGCUAACUACGUGCCAGCCGCCGCAGUAA
rnacentral:rRNA from 1 species